rnacentral:lncRNA from 1 species
AGGACACUGUGUAGUUUAAGUGUGGUCUAUUGGGGGAGAUUCUGAUUUUUCUUUGUUAAAUUUUUUCUUUUCUAGGUGUUAAUUUUUUUGUUUUCUAGGUAGUUUUUGUCGUGUCUUCUGUACAGUUUUGCAUGUUUCUCUUGAUUUCUGGACUUUGUUUUGGUUGUAGAUGUAUCUUUCACUUCAUUGAUACUUUGAUU